GUUGAAGUUGAGCUGUCAAGCGUUCAGUAGUAAAUGUAAAAAAGCUUUCAACGAGUAGCGGCACAGUUUCUGCACCCAAGGUAAACAAAGUCUUAAAAAAAUAAUAUGACAGCUCAUUUGGCUUUGGAAAAAAAUCACAUAUCAGCUGAUUCUGUUACGCUAGUUUGGCAAAUAAAUAUAGAGGAACAAAAACAAUAAGUGUGUUCGUGUACUUAAAAAUUUGUGUCAAUUUGCACAAAUUGUAACUGUAAGUCGUUCGCGUACUUAAUUUGCCAGCAGUAGAGAAAGAGCAAAAUUUUGAGAGUUUGGUAAUUGACGGGAUGCACUAAUAAGUAAAUCGAAAUAUCAAAGGCUUGAUAUCACAGCUGUAAUAUUUUCCAAUAUAUUAAAUGUGUUCUAUUUGAUCCGAUAUUCCACAAAUAAGCAACAAAAUAGUGUUAUAAUGAUAACAAUACAAAAAUGGAACAUAUUUGUAGAAUAUAAGUUGUAAUAGAAAGUUUUUUCUAAAACCCCUCUGACAUUUCAAUUUACGGCAUUUGCUACUCAAGGUAGUUUCGUUGG